AUGAUUGACCUCAAUGAAGUACCAGAGGAAGAUAUGCCAGAGUUUGCCUUUGUUCAUGACAUGAAUAUACUUGAUCCUUUAUAUUGCACACAACAGAGCAACCCACUUGGUGGAGCUGACAAUGCUGAGUUUGUGGCUGAAUCUCCCAACCCUGUUGCCACACACAAUGCUUCGACAAAUGUGGUGCAAACUAUGCCUACAGAUAUGGGUGCAACGGUCGAAGCAACUACACAUCCAGCGGCAGCAACAGAGACGGAUGAACACACACAUUUUGACACUAACACCGCAGGUGGAACAGGUGGGACUGUUGGAAACAGUUUGGCGGGCUUGGUUGGUGAGAACGAUGAUGAGGCAUGGUCACAGCCCAAGGAACCUUACGUGGGGAUGAGGUUUGACACUUUGGAAGGUGCAAAGGAACACUACAAUGCGUAUGCUCUGCAGCUUGGAUUUUCCAUCAAAAUGAAUACAACAAGGAGAACUGGCAACACUAGUAUGUUGGUAAAGCAGAAAUUUGUUUGCAAGAAGUUUCGGAAACCUACAGAGGAUGAUGGAGGUGCAGAAAAGCCCCCUGUCCUAGACAAAAUUGUUGAUCAGGCAUAA
rnacentral:rRNA from 1 species